rfam:Dipodomys ordii contig_19826, whole genome shotgun sequence.
GGUGGCUCAGUGGUAGAGCACUUGCCUUGCAUGCAUGAGGUCCUGGGUUCAAUUCCUCAGCACCA